rnacentral:tRNA from 1 species
CGCGGGAUGGCGCAGUCAGGUAGCGCGGCGGGCUCAUGCCCCGCAGGUCAUCGGUUCGAAUCCGUUUCCCGCCA